GACGAAGGGGGCUAGCGUUGUUCGGAAUCACUGGGCGUAAAGCGCACGCAGGCGGAUUGAUAAGUCGGGGGUGAAAUCCCGGGGCUCAACCUCGGAAUUGCCUUCGAUGCUGUCUGUCUUGAGUCCGGGAGAGGUGAGUGGAAUUCCUAGUGUAGAGGUGAAAUUCGUAGAUAUUAGGAAGAACACCAGUGGCGAAGGCGGCUCACUGGCCCGGUACUGACGCUCAUGUGCGAAAGCGUGGGGAGCAAACAGG
rnacentral:rRNA from 1 species